UACGUAGGGGGCUAGCGUUGUCCGGAAUCAUUGGGCGUAAAGCGCGCGCAGGUGGUUUCUUAAGUCUGAUGUGAAAGCCCACGGCUCAACCGUGGAGGGUCAUUGGAAACUGGGGAACUUGAGUGCAGAAGAGGAAAGUGGAAUUCCAAGUGUAGCGGUGAAAUGCGUAGAGAUUUGGAGGAACACCAGUGGCGAAGGCGACUUUCUGGUCUGUAACUGACACUGAGGCGCGAAAGCGUGGGGAGCGAACAGG
rnacentral:rRNA from 1 species